UACGGAGGGGGCGAGCGUUGUUCGGAAUCACUGGGCGUAAAGGGCUCGUAGGCGGCCAACUAAGUCGGACGUGAAAUCCCUCAGCUUAACUGGGGAACUGCGUCUGAUACUGGAUGGCUUGGAUUUGGGAGAGGGAUGCGGAAUUCCAGGUGUAGCGGUGAAAUGCGUAGAUAUCUGGAGGAACACCGGUGGCGAAGGCGGCAUCCUGGACCAACAUUGACGCUGAGGAGCGAAAGCCAGGGGAGCAAACGGG
rnacentral:rRNA from 1 species